rnacentral:tRNA from 1 species
GAGAUGCUAGUUAAGUCAUAACAAUACCUUGUCAAGGUAUAAUUACAGGUUAAACCCCUGUGUAUCUCU